rnacentral:rRNA from 1 species
AAUCAACGCUGACGGCGUGCCUAACACAUGCAAGUCGAACGAGAAAGUGGAGCAAUCCAUGAGUACAGUGGCGCACGGGUGAGUAACACGUGACUAACCUACCCUCGAGUGGGGAAUAACUCCGGGAAACCGGGGCUAACACCGCAUAAUAUCGAAAGAUCAAAUGCGCAAGCAGCUUGAGGAGGGGGUCGCGGCUGAUUAGCUAGUUGGUGAGGUAAUGGCNCACCAAGGCUAUGAUCAGUAGCCGGCCUGAGAGGGCGGCACGGCCACACUGGAAC